UGGUCUGAUCAGCCUCAUCUCGAUUGUUUUCAGUACAGUUAAUCUUUGGUUCCAGGGUCGGUUUGUUCCCAUUUCUUUGAGGCCAAGUCUCAGAAGUGUGG